AGAAGUCAGUUCUGCCUGGGCGGAUAGGGAUUAUUUAAGGAGAAUUAUGAAAGUUCUGAGCUUGGGAGCUUGCUACACUUGGCUCUAAAUCCAUUCCACCACGGUGACCCCCACUCCUUUGGCUCCGCAGGGGCUGUCCAGUGCUGCCGGCGCCAUCCAGGAGGCGGCAGCGCAGCCCGGCUCACGCGCUCAACCCACAGGACAAGGGACUAAGAGCCGUGAUGAACUUCACCCGAGGGGUGUCAUCCGUUCCUUUUGCCCAUGCAAUUAGCGGUAUUUUUCCACUUUAAGGGCUCAAUGUUGAGGAGUUCUUAACCUAUCUGAACCGAGGGGGCGGCGAAGGAGAACCGCGAUCCGCGGUGCGUCACACGGUACGGCCGGCGCAGUGGCGCCCUCUCGUGGACACGGGUCGUUACACGCGCCCGUAGUCCGUCCCAGCAUGACGUCAGUGCUCCCUGGACGUCAGCAGGGGGCUGGUGACUCAGGUCGGAAGGCAGAAGCCAUGGCUGGAGGAGGGCGAGGCCGAUGGGAGCGUGGGGCGGGUGAGGAAGCACGUGGACUUCACCAAAAAUCCUAAGAGAAAAGGUAGCUGGAGAAUUAUGGAAGGAAAUUUGCCUCCUAGCGAUGAAAUGUGAGCAGAAGGGCCGAGCAGAGCGGCAGGAGGUUCCGAUCCGGCACUUCCAAGGGCGCUGAUCCAGAGCAGAUGUAGGCUACUUCUCAUAUAGGCAACCGGACGCAUGGUCGACGAGGGUGCGGAAUGAUGCAGCCAUGCCCAGACUUAUUCUGAAAACAGUCCUUGCUGUGAAACACUAUAGGCCCAGGCUGCCCUCUCUAACAGAUGCAGUGAGAGAAGCCCUGAAACUGGAAACUGAGUGGAUCUUGAAAGUUCUCACAAGAAAAAAAAAUUGUUACUGUGUACGGUAAUGGUUGCUAACAGGACUUACGGUGGUGAUUAUUUUGCAAUAUAUACAAAUAUGGAAUCAUUGCAUUGCAUGUCUGAAACUAAUAUGAAUGUUAUGUCAACUACACCUCAAUAACAAAAUAAAUGAAUAGCCCCCGUCUACACCACUGCCAAAGAGAAAAAAAUAAAACGCUCAGUUUUCUGCAAUUUGCUUUAAAGUU